rnacentral:rRNA from 1 species
CAGCGGCGGACGGGUGAGUAACACGUGGGCAAUCUGCCCGAUACUCUGGGAUAACGCUUGGAAACGAGUGCUAAUACCGGAUGGUCUUCUUGGCCGCAUGGCCGAGAAGGAAAAGACGCGUUCGCGUCGGUGUCGGAUGAGCCCGCGGCGCAUUAGCUAGUUGGUGAGGUAACGGCCCACCAAGGCGACGAUGCGUAGCCGACCUGAGAGGGUGACUGGCCACACUGGGACUGAGACACGGCCCAGACUCC